rnacentral:rRNA from 1 species
UACGAAGGGGGCUAGCGUUGCUCGGAAUCACUGGGCGUAAAGCGCACGUAGGCGGAUCUUUAAGUCAGGGGUGAAAUCCUGGAGCUCAACUCCAGAACUGCCUUUGAUACUGAGGAUCUCGAGUCCGGGAGAGGUGAGUGGAACUGCGAGUGUAGAGGUGAAAUUCGUAGAUAUUCGCAAGAACACCCUGGCGAAGGCGGCUUCCUGGGGCCAUCCUGACACUGAGAAGCGAAAGCUAGGGGGAGCGAACGGG